rnacentral:lncRNA from 1 species
CCGAGGUAAUUCUUUUAAGCUAUUAUUUAGAUAUUUUAUAUAUGAAUACAAAGUACACAGCUACACUAUAAGAAUAAACAACCAAAAAAAUCAACCUAUUAGAUCAAUUUUAUGGUGAGGGGUGAGGCUGCACUUGAUCAAAUCAAGGGUGAAGUGAGAAACUUGAUCCAAAUAGUGAAGUCGAAGAGUUAUGAACUAUGCCACUUUAGAUCAAGGGAAAAGAAAUAGAACAUAUAUAUUAAUAAAGUUGAAAAUAUCAUAAUUCAUACAUCAACAUACACUAAAGGAAUGAAAGUGGAAAAAAAGUAGAACUUCUUUUUGUUGUAAGAAUAGGAGAAAAAACAACUAGACCCUUCAGCUAGAAGGACCUAAUAACACAUAUUAGCAAGAAAAUCUGCAAGCUUUAUUUGCUUCCACGUAUCAGUGUAUGUUGAAUAACUUGUUUAACUUAUAUAGGAAUUGCAUUAGUGACGGAAGGAUAGACCACAGUGGCGGGAUGCGCCAUGAUUUUGCGACCCUUCAUAUGGCGGAAGGGAUAGACGAUAGCACCUACCGGCCACUCCACCAACGCCGCCACCGCAAACGCCAGAAACCCGAGCGUUGGCCCAACCACUUUGCACCGGCAAGGGUUGCUGGUGGUGCCACAUUGAACGCAAAUUGGAACCCCUACUCCAACCAUCUUAUGAUCAAGUAAAAGGAAUAGAAUUGCUUAUAAUACUUUGUAAAAUUGAAUCGAAGAAGAGCACUUUGCAACUUGAUUAAGUUCAACGAACUAACUAUAGGAGCUUAGUCAUUAUAUAGAACGGAUUUUAAUUUCUU